rnacentral:rRNA from 1 species
GUCCACGCCGUAAACGAUGUGAGUUUGUCGCUGGGAGGUUUACCUCUCGGUGACGCAGCUAACGCGAUAAGCUCACCGCCUGGGAAGUACGGUCGCAAGAUUAAAACUCAAAGGAAUUGACGGGGACCCCGCACAAGCGGUGGAGUAUGUGGUUUAAUUCGUCGCAACGCGAAGAACCUUACCAGGCCUUGACAUGCCCUCUAUGGGAUCCAGAGACGGAUCCCUUCACUUCGGGUGGGAGGAGCACAGGUGCUGCAUGGCUGUCGU